GUUUAUUUCGCUUUGUCUUGACCUAGGACCUUUAUAGUACUCUAUCACAAAUUAUUAAUAUUGAACAUAUAUUAUUAAACAGUAUUUCACCUUUGCACAUAAACGUCUUUCCAUAAUUUCUUGAGGUUUGAAUAUUCGUUCCCUGUCUUUCACUAGCCAGGAUGAUUCUUGCCACUUGUGCAACUCGAAACAAAUGUUAAAAUGUCGAAGAAAAGGCAAACACCGAGGC